rnacentral:rRNA from 1 species
ACUGAACGCUGGCGGCAUGCCUAACACAUGCAAGUCGAACGGCAGCACGGUGUGUAGCAAUACACAUGGGUGGCGAGUGGCGGACGGGUGAGUAAUGCUUAGGAAUCUGCCCAAUGGUGGGGGAUAACUAACCGAAAGGUUAGCUAAUACCGCAUACGCCUUUACGGGGAAAGCGGGGGAUCGAAAGACCUCGAGCCGAUGGAGCAGCCUAAGUCCGAUUAGCUAGUUGGUAGGGUAAUGGCCUACCAAGGCGACGAUCGGUAGCUGGUCUGAGAGGACGGCCAGCCACACUGGAACUGAGACACGGUCCAGACUCCUACGGGAGGCAGCAGUGGGGAAUAUUGGACAAUGGGGGAAACCCUGAUCCAGCAAUGCCGCGUGUGUGAAGAAGGCCUGCGGGUUGUAAAGCACUUUCGGUUGGGAAGAAAAGUUUGGCGCUAAUACCGCCGAACCUUGACGUUACUGACAGAAGAAGCACCGGCUAACUCUGUGCCAGCAGCCGCCGUAA